GACGAACGCUGGCGGCGUGCUUAACACAUGCAAGUCGAGCGGUAAGGCCCUUUCGGGGGUACACGAGCGGCGAACGGGUGAGUAACACGUGGGUGACCUGCCCUCAGCUCUGGGAUAAGCCCGGGAAACUGGGUCUAAUACCGGAUAUGACUCCAUGACGCAUGUUGUGGGGUGGAAAGCCUUGUGCGGCUGAGGAUGGGCCCGNGGCCCUAGUCAGCUUGUUGGUGGGGUGAUGGCCACCAAGGCG
rnacentral:rRNA from 1 species